AUUGAACGCUGGCGGCAGGCCUAACACAUGCAAGUCGAACGAGCGGCGGACGGGUGAGUAAUGUCUGGGAAACUGCCUGAUGGAGGGGGAUAACUACUGGAAAAGGUAGCUAAUACCGCAUACCAUCAGAUGUGCCCCGAUGGGAUUAGCUAGUAGGUGGGGUAACGGCUCACCUAGGCGCCGAUCCCUAGCUGGUCUGUGAGGAUGACCAGCCACACUGGAACUGUGACACGGUCCAGACUCCUACGGGAGGCAGCAGUGGGGAAUAUUGCACAAUGGGCGCAAGCCUGAGGCAGCCAUGCCGCGUGUAUGAAGAAGGCCUUCGGGUUGUAAAGUACUUUCAGCGGGGAGGCGUUACCCGCAGAAGAAGCACCGGCUAACUCCGUGCCAGCAGCCGCGGUAAUAC
rnacentral:rRNA from 1 species